AUUGAACGCUGGCGGCAGGCCUAACACAUGCAAGUCGAACGAGUGGCGGACGGGUGAGUAAUGUCUGGGAAACUGCCUGAUGGAGGGGGAUAACUACUGGAAACGGUAGCUAAUACCGCAUACCAUCAGAUGUGCCCAGAUGGGAUUAGCUAGUUGGUGGGUUAACGGCUAACCAAGGCGACGAUCACUAGCUGGUCUGCGAGGAUUACCAGCCAAACUGGAACUGAGACACAGUCCAGACUCCUACGGGAGGCAGCAUUGGGGAAUAUUGCACAAGGGGCGCAAGCCUGAUGCAGCCAUGCCGCGUGUAUGAAGAAGGCCUUCGGGUUGUAAAGUACUUUCAGCGUGGAGGCGUUACCCGCAGAAGAAGCACCGGCUAACUCCGUGCCAGCAGCCGCGGUAAUUC
rnacentral:rRNA from 1 species